rnacentral:misc_RNA from 1 species
GAUGAAGAACGUAGCGAAAUGCGAUACGUAAUGUGAAUUGCAGAUUUCAGUGAAUCAUCGAAUCUUUGAACGCACAUUGCGCCCGCUAGUAUUCUGGCGGGCAUGCCUGUUCGAGCGUCAUUUCAACCAUCAAGCCCUAGGCUAGCGUUGGAGCCCUGCGGCUGCCGCAGGCUCCCAAAUCCAGUGGCGGGCUCGUCGUCGUACCGAGUGCAGUAAACAUCCUCGCUCAGGGAACGUGACGGGUUCUUGCCGUGAAACCCCCCACAUAUCAAGGUUGACCUCGGAUCAGGUAGGAAUACCCGCUGAACUUAAGCAUAUCAAUAAGCGGAGGA